rnacentral:rRNA from 1 species
UACGUAGGCAGCAAGCGUUGUUCGGAGUUACUGGGCGUAAAGGGUGCGUAGGCGGCUUCUUAAGUCUGGUGUGAAAUCUCCCGGCUCAACUGGGAGGGUGCGCCGGAUACUGAGGGGCUAGAGUGUGGGAGAGGAAAGUGGAAUUCCUGGUGUAGCGGUGAAAUGCGUAGAUAUCAGGAGGAACACCGGUGGUGUAAACGGCUUUCUGGACCAUUACUGACGCUGAGGCGCGAAAGCUAGGGGAGCAAACAGG